rnacentral:rRNA from 1 species
CCUACGGGAGGCAGCAGUGGGGAAUUUUGCGCAAUGGGCGGAAGCCUGACGCAGCAACGCCGCGUGGAGGAUGAAGGUCUUUGGAUUGUAAACUCCUGUCAGCAGGGAAAAAGGGACUGGACCUCAUACGUCUGGAACUUGAUUGUACCUGCAGAGGAAGCCCCGGCUAACUCUGUGCCAGCAGCCGCGGUAAUACAGAGGGGGCGAGCGUUAUUCGGAAUUAUUGGGCGUAAAGGGCGCGUAGGCGGCUUUGCAAGUGACGGGUGAAAGCCCUCGGCUUAACCGAGGAACUGCCUGUCAGACUGUGAGGCUUGAGACCGGGAGAGGUGAGUGGAAUUCCCAGUGUAGCGGUGAAAUGCGUAGAUAUUGGGAGGAACACCAGUGGCGAAGGCGGCUCACUGGACCGGAACUGACGCUGAGGCGCGAAAGCGUGGGGAGCAAACAGGAUUAGAUACCCUGGUAGUCCACGCCGUAAACGAUGAGUGCUUGGUGUAGCGGGUAUCGACCCCUGCUGUGCCGAAGUCAACACAUUAAGCACUCCGCCUGGGGAGUACGGUCGCAAGACUGAAACUCAAAGGAAUUGACGG